UGGGGCGUGGUCCAAUCGGUAGGGCACCUCACUGUUAAUGAGGACGGUGUUGGUUCGAGUCCAACCGCCCCAGCCA
rnacentral:tRNA from 2 species